AUGGCCUUAACAAUUGCUGCAAUUUGUGUUGAACUAAACUGCCAGGCAGACAUGGAAACAAGUUUAGAAGGUGCCACUUUUCUAAAAGAAGUCUCUCUUAACAAGGCCAAAAGCUUAUUCCAGCUGGAAAGUCAGAAGUCCUUCAGUUUUGACCAAAGGAUUAAGAAAUCCCAAAGUCUUGCACUAAGGAGACAAGAAGGUGAGAUGAAGAAGAUGAAGACCAAAAAAAAAAAAAAGCUUUCAAAAUCCUGGCUAUAUCUGUAUAAUAGUACAAUACUAUCAAUAAAUUCAUGAGCAUCCUGAG
rnacentral:lncRNA from 1 species